GACGAACGCUGGCGGCGAGCUUAACACAUGCAAGUCGAACGGAAAGGCCUGCUUUCCCUUGUGGAUUGCGGGUACUCGAGUGGCGAACGGGUGAGUAACACGUGAGUGAUCUGCCCCCAACUUGGGUAUAAGCCUGGGAAACUGGGUCUAAUUCCCGAUAGGACUGCAGGGUGGUGCCUGUGGUGGAAAACGAUUUUCUAGUGGUUGGGGAUGAGCUCGCGGCCUAUCAGCUUGUUGGUGGGGUAAUGGCCUACCAAGGCGGCGACGGGUAGCCGGCCUGAGAGGGUGGACGGCGACAGUGGGACUGAGAUACGGCCCAGACUCCUACGGGAGGCAGCAGUGGGGAAUAUUGCACAAUGGGCGGAAGCCUGAUGCAGCGACGCCGCGUGGGGGAUGACGGCCUUCGGGUUGCAAACUCCUUUCGACCGCGAGGAAGCCACCUGGUUGGAAGGGUGGUGACGGUAGUGGUAGAAGAAGCACCGGCUAACUACGUG
rnacentral:rRNA from 1 species